ACUCAAUUAUAUGAAUAAUAUGACUGCACAUCAGCUAUACAAAAUCCCAUUUCAUGAUUUAAAUGAAGAAUUUAAAGGUAGUAAUUGAAUUGGUAUAGUUAUUGAAAUAAGUCCCAAUUUCAGGGCUUGUCUUUCAGUUCAACAGAAGAAGAAACAGGGGAGCAAAGUUUUGAAUUUGAAUCCCUAAUUUCCUGAACUAUGGGCAGGUCAAGUACCAGAAAUAGUAUUGUUUCCAUAACAUAGCAAUCCAGA
rnacentral:misc_RNA from 1 species